rnacentral:lncRNA from 10 species
AUGGGACACACACUUGGCCCCCUCCUGCUGGGUGAUUUCUACUUGUUUGUGGGUGAUGCAGGGCCUGGGGAGAGAGCUGCCCAGGAGGUAGUAGUCCUCAUACAGCAUACUGGACUGGAUGGCCAGCCAGAUGAACUCCUCCACAAACUCUCUGCUGACAUCCUCAAUGAACACCUUUUUGGCCCGAAGCUUCAGUGCCUGGCUUCCUUGAAGUCUUCCUUCUGGCUGGUGUUGCCCAGGUCCUGGCUAAUGCUGGGAAAACACCAAGCUGAAGACAUGUUUCCUGCCUUCCAGCAAAGAGAUAGAGUCCAAGCAAAUAAAUACAACAGAUGUGAACGUGGAAGCACAAAGGAAGGAGAAGCCAACAUUCCUGGGAGAGGUGACAUUUCUUCAGGGUUUCGAUACUUCUUCUAGUCCUCUGAAAUCUUUUUUUUUUUUUUUUUUUUUUUUUGAGACGGAGUCUGGCUCUGUCGUCCAGGCUGGAGUGCAGUGGCCGGAUCUCAGCUCACUGCAAGCUCCGCCUCCCGGAUUUACCCCAUUCUCCUGCCUCAGCCUCCCGAGUAGCUGGGACUACAGGUGCCCGCCACCUUGCCCGGCUAGUUUUUGUAUUUUUUAGUAGAGACGGGGUUUCACCGUGUUAGCCAGGAUGGUCUCGAUCUCCUGACCUUGUGAUUCGCCCGUCUCGGCCUCCCAAAGUGCUGGGAUUACAGGCUUGAGCCACCGCGCCCGGCCAGUCCUCUGAAAUCUUAAAUCUUCAUUCUUAGUAUUCUCAGUGGAGCAUUUUAUUCUGUCUCUACGGUUUGGGGCAAAAAGAAGAGACUCUUGACAAAGUACUUCUAGAAAGACUGGCAGAAAAGACUGAAAGAUUUUCUCAGGAGUAAGAAACAACACAACUUUCUUAAUACUCCUGUGCUGUUUUCACAUGCAAAAAAUAUUUUCCCCCUUCAUCGGUAGGGCAAUGGACAAAAUGGCUUUUCUUAUAGUAAAUAGCAUGUCCCAUGUAAAACGAGGCCAUGAUCUCCCUU